CUGGGCUCUGGACUUCCACCGCACAGGCCUGAGGGCGAGAGGGGGGAGGCAGAGGGCGAGCCGGGGCUGGAUGGGUCACGAGCAUCACCCAAGAAAGUGGAGCCUGAAAAUGCACAUAGUAUAUUAACAGAAGCUUAAGAUGGAAUCUGAAUCUGACACCUUUAAAGACCACGAUGGCAUGAAAUUGCUAACAGAUCUGACAUUCAAGCAACCAAAUGG